CCAAAAUAAUCGAAAAAAUAGAAUUCAAAAUUUUCAGAAUUUGGAAUGAAAAUAUUGUUCUAAAAUCUAAAUAUUCGGAUGUGAAUCGACAAAAUUUAACUACAUAAAAAAUUUAAAACUAUAAUUAAAAUAUAUAUUUGAUGCAUUAUUUAUAUUUAAAUGUUAAAUAAAAUGUAGAAAUAUGUUAAAUGUAAGUAUAUAUUAAAAUAGGUCGUGGCUUUUAUUCUAUUCCACUUUUUCAACUGCACAUUUCAUUACUUCCUCUUUACAGGAUUAAGGAUUAGGGAUUUGGGGUUUGGGAUUUUAUUACUCUUCCAUAAUUCAACAGCGGUUAAAAUUUUGUAGUCCAAAGCCUGCGAGUUUCGACGGUGGAUGCGAAGGAAUUGACGAGUACGGGUGCAGCCCCAACAAUUUUAAGGUAUUAAAAAUGGAGAGAUGCUAAGGGGAUUGCUCACUGGUUACAAACUAAGUUUUGUAAAACUAAGUUCAUUGGGAUUUCAAUUGCAUUGAUGUUCAUUAGUUGCAAUCGAUUAAUCAGGAAAUGAAGCUUUAGAUUCUCUGGAUAUUUUAUGUACGCAAAUGGAAAGGCAACGGGGAAACUGUCGAGAUGUCCUGAUUUUGGUGCACAACAAAAGACACUGUGUAUGAUACUGUGAAACCGAUGACAACACAAUGUUGGAAAUCUCGUAGUUGUUAAACCUGGAGAGCGGAAGUCGAUUGUUGGAAUUAUCACAUACAGAGGUCUAUUUGAUUAUCACAACAUUUCAUAUCUAAAUGAUGAGUAUUGUUGGGCUCCUUAGAGUUUGUUUGAUAAUAGAGGAAUUACUUUUGUUAUUUGGCCUACUCAUGAUACGUGCUGGAUGAUUUUGUAUUGUAAAUAAUUUGAUAUAAUAUUGAAAUGUAUUGAAAAUCCAAUUUCUCUGUAUUUUGAUUAUGAAUGAUUUUUAAUUUUUUUUUAAUUUU